rnacentral:lncRNA from 1 species
UGGAGACUUUGAAGUGGGAAGCAGUAAGUGCCCCCUGUGCUGGGCUGUGUGCAAGGGGGGGAGGCAGCCCCUGAGGAUCAGCGCUGUGCCUUGGCUUGUGAGGAUGAGAGAAAAGACGGAAUUAAUGAGAUGGGCUCGGAUCUCCAAAGGCAAUGAAGUAAUCAGCAGCUCAGAGUCAAAAUAUCUGGAGACAUGUCAGAUGCCUUCCUUACCUCUGGUGACUGUAAAUGAAGUGCAACACAUGAAUGUAUUCCCCCCAAGAAAUGCAAUAAACUAUUUUGCUGUCAAGUGCAUUAAGAUUUCAACAUACAGUGAAAUCAUUCUUCUGCUGCUUUCCAGGUUCUUACAUGUGGAUGGCUGUUGUGCAAGAACAGAGCUACUGACCCAUCUCUGUCUUAAAAGUUCAGGUUCUUCCUCCAUGCCAGUUGUGGUCCAAGAACCUCCAGUCCUGUGCCAGCUGAUUUUGAGGGAUAUACCUAUGCUGAACCGGGGCUAACAAUGACUUAGUCUCUUCAAAUGAGAAGAGUGAGUUACUGAACCUCUCUAUUUUGUACCACAUCGGCUAUCUCAUGUUUCUGUUACUGAUUCAGAUCAGUGAUUUUUCUCAGAAUUUUUUAUUAUUUAUGCAGUUAUAGUUUCUUUGUGUUGCCAACCACUAACAGAUGGCUUAUUUCUCUAAUCAAACAGUUGUUUCAAAUGUGUGUCUAUCUAAACAAAAUAACAUGCUGAAUAUCUAAUGCUGGAAAAACAAAUUGUUU